rnacentral:rRNA from 1 species
GACGAACGCUGGCGGCGUGCUUAACACAUGCAAGUCGAACGGAAAGGCCCUGCUUUUGUGGGGUGCUCGAGUGGCGAACGGGUGAGUAACACGUGAGUAACCUGCCCUUGACUUUGGGAUAACUUCAGGAAACUGGGGCUAAUACCGGAUAGGAGCUCCUGCUGCAUGGUGGGGGUUGGAAAGUUUCGGCGGUUGGGGAUGGACUCGCGGCUUAUCAGCUUGUUGGUGGGGUAGUGGCUUACCAAGGCUUUGACGGGUAGCCGGCCUGAGAGGGUGACCGGCCAAAUGGGAACGAGGAAACGGCCGGGGCGCCAGCGGGAGGCAAGAGUGGGGGAUAUUGAAAAAUGGGGGGAGGCCGGGAGGAGCAAUGCCGGGGGGGGGAGGGGGGCCUUCGGGUGGGAAACCGGUUUCGCCGGUUAAGAGGGGUGGGGGAGGGGAAUGGGGAAGGAAGCAAGGGCAAACUACGG